GACGAACGCUGGCGGCGUGCUUAACACAUGCAAGUCGAGCGGUAAGGCUCCUUCGGGAGUACACGAGCGGCGAACGGGUGAGUAACACGUGAGCAAUCUGCCCUCCACACUGGGAUAACCCCCGGAAACGGGAGCUAAUACCGGAUACGACCACUUCAGGCAUCUGAUGGUGGUGGAAAGUUCAGGCGGUGGAGGAUGAGCUCGCGGCCUAUCAGCUAGUUGGUGAGGUAAUGGCUCACCAAGGCUUCGACGGGUAGCCGGCCUGAGAGGGUGACCGGCCACACUGGGACUGAGACACGGCCCAGACUCCUACGGGAGGCAGCAGUGGGGAAUAUUGGACAAUGGGCGAAAGCCUGAUCCAGCAACGCCGCGUGAGGGAUGACGGCCUUCGGGUUGUAAACCUCUUUCAGCUCCGACGAAGCGAAAGUGACGGUAGGAGCAGAAGAAGCACCGGCCAACUACGUGCCAGCAGCCGCAGUAAGAC
rnacentral:rRNA from 1 species